rnacentral:rRNA from 1 species
ACGGCUCAGUAACACGUAGCUAACCUACCCUCAGGACGGGUAUAACCCCGGGAAACUGAGGCUAAUACCCGAUAGGUGUGAAUUCCUGGAAUGGUGUCACGCUUAAAGGUUGUCCACCCAUGUUGUGUACACACGCCCGAGGAUGGGGCUGCGGCCGAUCAGGCAGUUGGUGAGGUAAUGGCUCACCAAGCCUUUGACCGGUACGGGCCGUGAGAGCGGUAGCCCGGAGAUGGGCACUGAGACAAGGGCCCAGGCCCUACGGGGCGCAGCAGGCGCGAAACCUCCACAAUGCACGCAAGUGCGAUGGGGUUAUCUCGAGUGCCGCCUGAAGAAGGCGGCUUUUCCAUGGUGUAAUGAGCCGUGGGAAUAAGGGGGGGGCAAGACUGGUGUCAGCCGCCGCGGUAACACCAGCUCCCCGAGUGGUGGGGAUGAUUAUUUGGCCUAAAGCGUCCGUAGCCGGCUAAGUAAAUUUCUCGUUAAAUCCAACGUCCUAAGCGUUGGGCUGCGAGAAAGACUGCUCAGCUAGAGGGUGGGAGAGGUCAGCGGUAUUCCUGGGGUAGGGGCGAAAUCCAUUGAUCCCAGGAGGACCACCAGUGGCGAAGGCUGCUGACUAGAACACGCCUGACGGUGAGGGACGAAAGCUGGGGUAGCGAAUCGGAUUAGAUACCCGAGUAGUCCCAGCCGUAAACGAUGCAGGCUAGGUGUUGGGUCGGCCAUGGGCCGCCUCAGUGCCACAGGGAAGCCAUUAAGCCUGCCGCCUGGGGAGUACGGCCGCAAGGCUGAAACUUAAAGGAAUUGGCGGGGGAGCACCACCAGGCGUGAAGCCUGCGGUUUAAUUGGAUUCAACGCCGGG